AUGGAAUUGAGUUUGUCUCAUACGCUUCACCUUUUUAAUAUCUUUCGUGAGUAUGAUGGAAAGGAUAAUUGUGCUCAAGUGCUAGAAGAAGAAAUCUCUAAAUUGUUUGGCACUAAAUAUUUGAAUGAUGAGCAUGAUUGCAAUGUUGUUAGUAUGAAUUCCUUGAAUAUCCAUGAUGCUAAUGAUAUGCAAAGCCACAAGCUUGGGGAAGCUAUGUUUGAUGAAGAUGAUAUUUUUUGUCCCCCAAGCUUUGAUGAGCAAAUUUACUAUGAUAAAAGCAUGCCUCCUAUCUAUGAUGAUUAUUGUGAUGACACGUAUGCUUUAAAGAAUAAUGAUAACCAUGAAACGUGUCAUCUUGAUCUUAAUUUUCAAUCACAUGAUAGUUAUUUUGUUGAGUUUGCUCCCACUACUAUUCAUGAGAAGAAAUUUGCUUAUGUUGAGAGUAGUAAAUUUUCUAUGCGUGUAGAUCAUGAAAAGAAUGCUUUAGGUGCUGGUUAUAUUGUUGAAUUCAUUCAUGAUGCUACUGAAAAUUAUUAUGAGAGAGGAACAUAUGCUUGUAGAAAUUGCCAUAAUGUCAAGUUUCCUCUCUAUGUGCUUAAAAUCUUGAAGUUAUGCUUGUUUUACCUUUCUAUGCAAGUUGAUUCUUGUUCCCAUAAGUUGUUUGCUCACAAAAUCCCUAUGCAUAGGAAGUGGGUUAGACUUACUUGUGAUAGUCAUAUUCUUCAUGAUGCGCCCGUUAUGUUUCAAUUCUUAUCUUUUUUGUGA
rnacentral:rRNA from 1 species